rnacentral:misc_RNA from 1 species
AAGUCGUAACAAGGUUUCCGUAGGUGAACCUGCGGAAGGAUCAUUACCAAAUCCCUUUAUAUGCAACUGUGAACUGAGCUUCGUCCUUGGGGUAUGAGCAUUGCAGACUUCGGUCUGUUUUAGGAGUACCCCAAAAGGACUCAACCCACUGGUGGGUUCAAAAGGACUCAACCCACUGGUGGGUUGGACCUUACCUUAAACAACUUACAAACUUCUGAUGGAUUGUUUUUAACAAAAAUAACAAUGACAACUUUUAACGGUGGAUCUCUUGGCUCGU